UUACUCAAUGGCGCUCCGGGCACCCCUUUCAAGCAUUUGUGCGGCCUUAGGCAGGGAGACCCUCUCUCCCCCAUGCUAUUCAUCUUGGCCAUGGAACCUCUCCAGAGACUUUUCGAGUUAGCUUCUGAUCAUGGCAUUCUGACCAAGCUUGGCCCGCAAGCGGCCACUCUUCGGACUAGUAUGUAUGCGGACGAUGCUACUCUUUUCCUGAAUCCGGACAAGCAUGACAUUGCCGCGGCAAAAGCUAUUCUGAACAUUUUUGGUGAGGCCUCU
rnacentral:rRNA from 1 species